GUACUCACUUUGGUGGCACAUAUACUAAAAUUGGAACGGUACAGAGAUUAGCUUGGUCCCUGCAUAACAUGACACAAAUUUGUGAAAUGUUCCAUAUUUUU
ensembl:snRNA U6 U6 spliceosomal RNA